CCUACGGGAGGCAGCAGUGAGGGAUUUUGCGCAAUGGGCGAAAGCCUGACGCAGCGACGCCGCGUGAGGGAAGAAGGCCUUCGGGUUGUAAACCUCUGUCAGUGGGGAAGAGGAAGGACGGUACCUGCUGAGGAAGCCUCGGCUAACUACGUGCCAGCAGCCGCGGUAAUACGUAGGGGGCGAGCGUUGUCCGGAAUUACUGGGUGUAAAGAGCUCGUAGGCGGAGAGGUAAGUUCAGGACCAAAGCCCAGGGCUUAACCCUGGAAUGAGCUUGAAUACUGCCUUUCUUGAGGACCGGAGAGGAGAGUGGAAUUCCCGGUGUAGCGGUGAAAUGCGUAGAUACCGGGAGGAACACCGUUGGCGAAGGCGGCCUUCUGGGCUUCUCCUGACGCUGAGGGGCGAAAGCCUGGGGAGCGAACCGGAUUAGAUCCCCCGGUAGU
rnacentral:rRNA from 1 species